UUCGGACUUGUAUAUGACUAUUGUGUACAAAAUUGCAUAAUCAUAGAAAGAUUGUGCUUGGAGGAUUAAACAUACACCCUCAAAGUGAAGUUUACUUGCACAUGAAUCAGUAUUAUUAGUGUUAUUAUUCUGUUACUAUCUUAUUCUUCAGAUUGCAUUACUGCUUUUGUUUCUUUUACUUGGGUUACCCUUCUGAUUGUUUCUUGUCCGUACUUUUCUUUUGUACAGUAUUUUCAUCACAUCUUUUACUUUUGCAUUUGUCAAACCGAUAUUUUUAUUUGUAAACGUUUUUCUUGAGCUAAGGGUCUAUUAGAAACGACCUCUCUACCUCACAAGGUAAGGGUAAGGUCCGCGUACACCCCACCCUCCCCAGACCCCACCAUGUGGUAUCAUCUGGGUAUGAUGUUGUUGUUGUUGUUGGUGGUGGUGGUGGCGGCUUUCCUGGAUUGGUCUAUGGUUUAUGUUGAACGUGUUACACAUAUUAGCCUCUCAUGCUACAUGAGCGAAAAUCUAAUGAACUGCAUUUUAUUUCAUUAGAAUCAUUACAUGUUUUUGCUAUUAUUUUGAUAAAAGACUGAGUAGCCAUAAUAGGUUACAGGAAAACACUUUUUUGGCUUUCUGGGAUGUGCUACUUAGGAAUAAGUUGUUUUUCCGAGGUCAUUUUAUGCUGCGAAGGCACCUUUUUAGAUUUCAUAAAGCAUACCAACUUGAAGUGUUUUAUCUGGUGGAAUUUGAAGUGCAGAAAUGGCUGCCCUGCUAUUCUUCUGAAGAAACCUGUACAAGUACUCUAUAGUGAAGCGAGCAAACCAACCUUUAUUUGCUUUAAGAAUUGUUCUUCCUAACACAAAAACGGGUCCUCUAUCAGCAGCUGCAUCUAUCUUUUGUUUUUCACUAGUAGACUCAGCUUGGUCUUGGAGUUUUGUGAUCAUCGAAGUAACAAAGUCAUCUCCUUCCAUGCUCUGAGAAUCCUUAUAUCCAAACUGAAUCAAACACCGAUAGACCCCUUCAACUCCCAGCUUCCCCACAUUGUAACGUUCCUCCAGCAGGACAGAUUUGAUGGGAAGAGUUCUAACAGUGACAAUUACCAGGAUUUCUCGUACAGAAUUUGUGUGCUGAAUAUAAUGCCGGAUUAUGGGUGGAAUGCCAUUUGCAAGAUCAGUGAAAAAGAAGCAGAUUCCUGGCGCUCGGUAUGUACUAAAGCUUGACAGCAUUUGGUCUAGAUCAGGCCACUUCCAACAUUAUAGUUAAGAAGUUGCCACACAUUCCGCCAUGUUUAUAUGUAGCUUAAAGAUAGCCUCAAGGAUUAUCCUGUUUGGUUGAUCCUCAGAUAAAACAAAAGAUUAGAGCUCAUGCUGCAAAAUUUACAGCCACAAGUUGCAGGAGAGGGAGCAGGCGUCACAUAAGAGUUACUUGGAACAGUUGCUGAUGAUUUGAUAGUGCUAUAAAUAUGUAUAUCAACAUCUCUGGGGUAUUUUGAAUAGCAAUAGUUCAAUUACUGAAUUAUUAGUGCUAACUAAAAAUAUUAUUCGUCUUUUUUAAAUAGCGUGUUGAUAGGAUAAUAUGAAAUGUUGAUAGGGGUAUGGACUACUAAAAGGAACUACUCUUUCAGUUCGAAUAAAUACUACGUAUUUGAUUUCUUGUUCAGUUUGCCUCAAUAAGGCUAAUUUCGUUGUUUUCUGAAAUCACAUAUAAAAAGGAUAUAUGGG